rnacentral:rRNA from 1 species
UAGAGUUUGAUCCUGGCUCAGGAUGAACGCUAGCUACAGGCUUAACACAUGCAAGUCGAGGGGAAACGGCAUUGAGUGCUUGCACUCUUUGGACGUCGACCGGCGCACGGGUGAGUAACGCGUAUCCAACCUUCCCAUUACUGUGGGAUAACCUGCCGAAAGGCCGACUAAUACCGCAUAGUCUUCGAUGACGGCAUCAGAUUUGAAGUAAAGAUUUAUCGGUAAUGGAUCGGGAUGCGUCUGAUUAGCUUGUUGGCGGGGUAACGGCCCACCAAGGCGACGAUCAGUAGGGGUUCUGAGAGGAAGGUCCCCCACAUUGGAACUGAGACACGGUCCAAACUCCUACGGGAGGCAGCAGUGAGGAAUAUUGGUCAAUGGACGGAAGUCUGAACCAGCCAAGUAGCGUGCAGGAUGACGGCCCUAUGGGUUGUAAACUGCUUUUGUAUGGGGAUAAAGUCAAUCACGUGUGAUUGUUUGCAGGUACCAUACGAAUAAGGACCGGCUAAUUCCGUGCCAGCAGCCGCGGUAAUACGGAAGGUCCAGGCGUUAUCCGGAUUUAUUGGGUUUAAAGGGAGCGUAGGCUGGAUAUUAAGUGUGUUGUGAAAUGUAGACGCUCAACGUCUGACUUGCAGCGCAUACUGGUUUCCUUGAGUACGCACAACGUUGGCGGAAUUCGUCGUGUAGCGGUGAAAUGCUUAGAUAUGACGAAGAACUCCGAUUGCGAAGGCAGCUGACGGGAGCGCAACCGACGCUUAAGCUCGAAGGUGCGGGUAUCAAACAGGAUUAGAUACCCUGGUAGUCCGCACAGUA